CCUACGGGAGGCUGCAGUGGGGAAUAUUGCACAAUGGGGGAAACCCUGAUGCAGCGACGCCGCGUGAGUGAAGAAGUAUUUCGGUAUGUAAAGCUCUAUCAGCAGGGAAGAAAAUGACGGUACCUGAUUAAGAAGCUCCGGCUAACUACGUGCCAGCAGCCGUGGGAAUACGUAGGCGGCCAGCGUUAUCCGGAUUUACUGGGUGUAAAGGGAGCGUAGACGGCAGCACAAGUCAGGAGUGAAAUGCUGGGGCUUAACCGCGGAACUGCAAUGGAAACUGUGAAGCUAGAGUACAGGUGAGGUAAGUGGAAUUCCUGGUGUAGCGGUGAAAUGCGUAGAUAUUAGGAAGAACACCAGUUGCGAAGGCAGCUUACUAGACUGUAACUGACAUUGAGGCUCGAAAGCGUGGGGAGCAAACAGGAUUAGAUACCCGAGUAGUC
rnacentral:rRNA from 1 species